rnacentral:lncRNA from 1 species
UUAAAAUCAUCCAUCAUAUAACAUCACAUAAUACAUCUUUCAGGUUUACAUAACACAAUAACUCAUCUCAUGAAUACAUUUCCUUACACACGAAUAUAGCAAGAACGAACAAAAUUGCACAAGAAAAAGUUGAUUUGAAUGUCCCAAGUAGGCAUCAUCGACAUCUUCUCACCACUUUCCUAGCAAUAGAAAAAGAGAUAAAACAAAAAACAUUAAACAGUCCAAUAACAAAUCGAUAAACAAGGACCUAGUUCAUGGGCACAUGGAACAAUGGACUUAGGACACAGUUAACGACAUCUAGUUUAUAGCAACCAUUGAAGAGACACGUAACAACAAG